AUUGAACGCUGGCGGCAUGCCUUACACAUGCAAGUCGAACGGUAACAGGUCUUCGGAUGCUGACGAGUGGCGCACGGGUGAGUAAUACAUCGGAACGUGCCCAGACGUGGGGGAUAACGAGGCGAAAGCUUUGCUAAUACCGCAUACGAUCUAAGGAUGAAAGCAGGGGACCGCAAGGCCUUGCGCGUUUGGAGCGGCCGAUGGCAGAUUAGGUAGUUGGUGGGAUAAAAGCUUACCAAGCCGACGAUCUGUAGCUGGUCUGAGAGGACGACCAGCCACACUGGGACUGAGACACGGCCCAGACUCCUACGGGAGGCAGCAGUGGGGAAUUUUGGACAAUGGGCGAAAGCCUGAUCCAGCAAUGCCGCGUGCAGGAUGAAGGCCUUCGGGUUGUAAACUGCUUUUGUACGGAACGAAAAGGCUCUGGCUAAUACCUGGGGCACAUGACGGUACCGGAAGAAUAAGCACCGGCUAACUACGUG
rnacentral:rRNA from 1 species